UACGAAGGGUGCAAACGUUGCUCGGAAUUAUUGGGCGUAAAGCGCACGUAGGCGGCAUUGCAAGUCGGAUGUGAAAUCUUAUGGCUUAACCAUAAAAGUGCAUCCGAAACUGCAGUGCUUGAGUACUUAAGAGGAUCGCGGAAUUCCCGGUGUAGAGGUGAAAUUCGUAGAUAUGGGGAGGAACACCGGUGGCGAAGGCGGCCAUCUGGACGGUGACUGACGCUGAGACGCGAAAGCGUGGGGAGCAAACAGG
rnacentral:rRNA from 1 species